UAAUAAUAAUAAAAUAAUAAAACUUUAUUUAUAACCCGCCACCAUCUCCCCAAUGGGGACUCGGGGCGGCUUACAUGGGGCCAUGCCCAGACACGAUACAAUAUAACAAAAUAAAACAAUAUAUCAUAACACAAUAUAAUAGUACAAAAAUAAUCAUAUACAUUACAACGCAAAUCAGAGCAGACAGGGCGGGCCACAUGAACAUUUAAUUAAAAACUCGGGAGAGAGAGGCAUAUAAAUAAAGAGAACAGGGGUAUAAGACGGAACAGUCCAAACAGUCCAAAGGAUAGAAUCCCAGGGGAGUAAUCAAGAGGUAUAUAACAUUUACUCCCCGAAGGCACAUCGAAAAAGCCACGUUUUUAGAUCUUUCUUAAAAGCCAAUAAGGUGGGGGCUUGCCUGAUCUCAGAGGGCAAUGAAUUCCACAGUCGGGGGGCCACAGCAGAAAAGGCCCUCUCUCUCGUUCCCACUAGACGGGCCUGGGAUAGAGGCAGUGGCGAAAGAAGGGCCUCCCCGGAUGAGCGGAGGGAUCGAAUAGGUUUAUAAUAGGAGAUACGGUCACGAAGGUAGGUGGGUCCCAAACCGUUUAGGGCCUUAUAAAUGAUGGUAUUCACCUUGAAUUGGGACCGGAAGGUGAACGGCAGCCAGUGGAGCUCUUUGAACAGGGGAGUAGAUCUCUCCCUGUAGCUCGCCCCUGUAAUUAAUCUGAUAUUUUAAUAUUUGUAUUCCAAUGUUGAUGCAUGUGCUAAAACAAACACGAAAAGAGACAUUAAAAUAUUUAAUAAUGCCAUAUUUCAAGGCUGGAUAGAUUCAGUAUUUAAGUGUUGGCAAGAUCUCUUUGCAAGUCUUUUGAUCUGAGCUCUGCUUUAGCAAAGUUUCUCUUAAUUAAUUUGCAGUGUUGCUGAGAUACUUAUUCGAAAGGGUUCUGCUUGGAACUAGCAACUCAGAUUCUGCUUGGAUUAAGAUGUUGAAAGAAACUGCUUGAUCAAAGCAAAAGCAAAAGAAAAAUCAGCUUCCUGAACUAGAAGGAGGAAAGGAAAAGUACCAUGUGAAGGAAAAGUACCAUUUUCAAUCAGGAAGCAAGGCAAGCUCAGUUUAUAAUGAACAGGAUGGGGAAAGAGGUGGAGGUGAAUCUCCAUGUGAUGAUCAAAGCAACUCAGGAGAAUGAGGAAGAUGAAGUUGCCCCUGGACCAUAACAAUUCUGAGACGCUCCAGGCAUUGAAAGCACCUCACUACCUCCACUCAAUAAUUGUUGGUGCAGAGCCCAGUCAAACUGGUAUAAGGAAAAUGUGAUUGCUGAACUGGGCAGUGCCAUAACCAAGGAAACCAAACAAACAGUGAAAUUUCUAAUUGUGUCUGUGUCAUGCUGAGCAGGCUUGUUUGCUGCCUCAAGGCAAAUUUCUGCCAUGGAGCCAAGAGGCAGGAAGACAGAUAAGGCAGAAUCGUUCUACUGGGACCAAGUUAUUCACUCCGAGUUCCAGAUUUAACCCAAGAAAGCAUGAGCAGUUGUUUAAUGAGAAAAAUCCAGCCAUGGGACUCAGACAGCCUUGUGCUAUCUUACAAAUUCCCUAUAUCAGCAACCACACCAAGGUUACUAUUAUUAUUGAUGAUAAAUGAAGUGGUUGUGUGCCUUCAAGUUCUUUUCCGAUUUAUAGUUGGCUACUCUAAGUCAAACCUGUCACAGGGAUUCUUGCAAGAUUUGUUCAGAGGGGUUUUUUGCCACUGCCUUCUUCUGAAACUGAAACGGCAUGACUUCCCCAGUGGGUUUCCAUGGCUGAACACUGAAUUCAACACUCAAACCCCUACGCCACACUCAAACCAUGUUGGUUUCCUUAAAUAGGUAUGCCUCAUUUAAAAAAGCUUCAGACAAGAAGUUCAAACAUUCUAGUGAUCUUGGGGAAAUUCACUUCUGUAAAGCUCAUCUGACCUGGUUGUUUUAUUUCACAUAUGCAUUGUGCUAGUUUUGAAUAAAAGGACUGCUGAAAUGUGCUGAACUGGUCUGCCAUUUUUGAAGUAUAAGAACCUAUCCCUAUUCUUUCCAUUUUAUUUGUGUCUCUAGUGCUACAUUUUAAGUUAAAGAAAGAAUCCUAGGAACACAUCCACUUUUAAACUGAGGCAUACCUGCAUGUACUAAGCCAGAGGCAGCAGAGAAGCAACAAGUUGCUGUAUGUCAGCAUGAGGGGGAUAACUUAAAUUCCUAAUGCAGCCUGGAACAAAAAGCAUGAUUUCUUCCAGGAGGCAUGACAUUGCAUUUCUAAAAAAGAACUUUCCCAAGCUCUAGUAAUAAUGCAUGAGCGUAUAUCAUGCAAUGCAAUAUACUUCAGCAUAUGGGACUUAAUGAUGGAAGGGGGCAGCAUGGGUCAGUAAGAGAAUGCAUGCAGUACAUGGAGAAAGCCCCAACCUGAGUCUCUUCCUUAUAUUGCUAAAAGAUAAGUAGAUGGGAAACUUACUUCCAAGACACAGGAGGCGAAGUCUGCUGAUAAUAAAACCGGACUAGGAAUCGGAAGAAGGUAGAUCUGGCUCUAUUAAUAAAUCUCUGGCUGAUUUCUGACUUCCAAAUGUUUAACAAUAGCAGCAAUACAAUGAACCUUGUUCUCCCUUUCCUCUCUGCCAAACUAUAUUACAAAAAUAAAUAAAAACUAUUAAGGUAA